rnacentral:rRNA from 1 species
CCUACGGGAGGCAGCAGUGAGGAAUAUUGGACAAUGGAGGAGACUCUGAUCCAGCCAUGCCGCGUGUAGGAAGAAUGCCCUAUGGGUUGUAAACUACUUUUAUACAGGAAGAAACACUGGUAUGUAUACCAGCUUGACGGUACUGUAAGAAUAAGGACCGGCUAACUCCGUGCCAGCAGCCGCGGUAAUACGGAGGGUCCGAGCGUUAUCCGGAAUCAUUGGGUUUAAAGGGUCCGCAGGCGGUCGAUUAAGUCAGAGGUGAAAUCCCAUAGCUCAACUAUGGAACUGCCUUUGAUACUGGUUGACUUGAGUCAUAUGGAAGUAGAUAGAAUGUGUAGUGUAGCGGUGAAAUGCAUAGAUAUUACACAGAAUACCGAUUGCGAAGGCAGUCUACUACGUAUGUACUGACGCUGAGGGACGAAAGCGUGGGGAGCGAACAGGAUUAGAUACCCCCUGGUAG